UCAAAAUAUAUUUAUGAGUAUUUAUGAGAAAAGGAGAAGGCAAUGGGGGUCGUUAAUAAUUAGUUAGUUGAAAUAAUAGGUGGGAAGGAUGUAGGGGAAUAAAUUUAGGGGUGUGCUAUAAAUGUAGAUAGCAAGAAGGAAAUUUUCCAAGUUUUGUUUUUGUCCCCUUCAAUAUUAUUAUUUUUAUCACAACAUUUCUUUGGUGUACUAAAUUAAACAACAUUCAAAGUGAAACAUGAUAUGUGCCCUAAACACGAAAGAAAUCAUUUUUUUGGAACUUUUGUGUAUCUGUUAAGUCUUACGUUAAUCAAUGACAUAACAUAAUUUUUUUAAUAGGCCAAUGUCAAGUAAUGUUAUCAAUUAAAUGAAUAAUAGAUCUAUUUAUGGUCAAUUAGCUUCAAGCCCUUUGACCAUGUUCGGGUGAAAAAAUUUCAAGUUCAAGGAACUGAUGCCAAACUAAUAAAGAUGAUCACAUAAUAUUAGACAAUAGGAUUAGAAGUGCACAAUAUAUGAGUAUUAAAAUGGCAUGAAAGAGACAAUUAUGAAUAACUCCUUCUAAAUAACAUAAGGAUUUGUAAUCACAUUUAUGGUGCAAUUUAAUCUCUCCUAAAUAACAUUUCUUGAUUCAUUACUUACUAACUCGAGCUCAGUUCCUUAGAACUUGGAAAUCCGUCACUCAAGGCCUGGUAAUUUUGUUUGUUAUGGUCAAUAUAUAUCCUACUAAUAGAUCCGAAUGAACCAUUUCUCUCAACCGAUGACUCACUGAGUCACAGCACUACUUCAAACCUCAAAGUGCAGAUGGUCUGCAAAACCUACCUAGACAGAGAGCUUUUAUUACUUAUUUCCCAUUGACGUAAUGCAACUCGGGGAAGUUGCACCGGUAAAAAUCAAUAGUCAUUACAUACGCACCUUAGUUAAGUCACAUCCAUCACCCAAAAAGACCAAGAUAGCUGAAUAACUCGACCUUAUAAUUAGUGUUAAUCCUCACCCAUUGGUUAACAAUAUGCAAUGAUAUAUGGGUCACAUCUUCUUAUCCUUUUGGAUAAAUUAGUUAGUUGCCGGAUUUCUUUGUAUAUACUUAGCAAUAUGUGUCUGCAAAGUUUAAGCAUGCUUUCUUGCUUUCGAUUAUUGUGACGACCCGUCUCUAAAUUUCUAUGUAAUUUUUUUCCCCGAGUAUGUAAAUUGACAUUUAUGUCAUUGUGGCCAAAGUGACAUGGAUGUGGACGUGGUUAUUCAACUUUAAUUUAUUUUUCUUGUUAUUGUAAUUAAUUAGUACUCAUUGUUACGAUUGUGUGAGCAUGAAUUAGAUCCGAAUCGGAUUUGUAAUGAAAAAGUUAUGCACAGUUAAAGUAUGUUAACAACGGAUAGAGUUGUACACGUGUGUGUUAAUUUAUCAGAAAUCAUUUGAAAUUUAAAAUUUAAAAUUAAAUAUAAAUAGUACCUAACAAAAAUUAAUCGCAUUAUGUAUGAUUAACGGCCAUGAUCACGAGAUCCCCGGAUGGCCGGGAAAAGGAUCCGGCCGUAACGUAAAGCCACGGAAAAACAGCAACCUUUUGACAAGCCCUCGGAGAUUCAGGCACAUAAUAUGCAUGACUACUUUCAACUAACUAGUUAAGGCAGAAAAGUACGAGACGGAAAGUACAACUAAUUUUUCUUUAAAAAAAAAAGGUACAACUAAUUAAGGAGCGACUUUGAUUAAGGUUUUUUUUAGCAGAGUGAGGCGAAUGUAUAGGGAAGCAAAAGAUUAUGACUAGCUAUAACUUCACCAACCAAAAAAAAUUAAAACAAAAGUAAAGUAAAUAAAUGCAAUGAAAGAAUUUGAGGAAAGCCUUUUGAGCUACUUAACCUAGGUUUUGAGCUAACUUCACCGAUCCCCUUUCUUUUUAACAAUUAACAAUUAACAAUUUAACCAUUAAUGUUAUCGUUAAAAAAACAAAAAGAAAAAAGAGAGAUCUUUUUUUUUUUUAAAUACAAAUGAAUUCAUUAAAAUUAAAAUUAAAAAUCACAUGCAAAUGGACAGGGAGAGGGGUAUAGUAAAGCAACACGACGAAGUAGAUGAUGAGAGCCCUUGACAUUGAGAGUUGAGAGACAAAUUAAUAAUCCUGACAACCGGAAUUUAAUAUGCAUCCGAUCCAACCAAACAUGACGCUACAAACAAAACAAAAUUUGGCAGACAAACAAAACCCUUGGCAUUUGACCACCCAAACCCAUCAUUUUAAAUACAGAUUACUUAACAUAACCAUUUAUAAAUACACACACACAUAUAUAUAUAUAUAUGUAUGUAUAUAUCGUUAUGAAGCGAAAUGCACGCCUAAACAUAGCUAGCCAUGCACAAGACUGGCUAAACUUGCAUGCUUUUGUAUGUGUGUGUGUGUGUGUGUGAGAGAGAGAGAGAGAGAGAGAGAGAUGAAUUACUUACAGAGAGAACUGGGAGAGGGACGAGUAUGGAAGUGAGAGACGCCUUCACGAGCGGUGUAGCUUCAAAAUAUAUUUAUGAGUAUUUAUGAGAAAAGGAGAAGGCAAUGGGGGUCGUUAAUAAUUAGUUAGUUGAAAUAAUAGGUGGGAAGGAUGCAGGUGAAUAAAUUUAGGGGUGUGCUAUAAAUGUGGAUAGCACGAAGGAAAUUUUCCAUGUUUUGUUUUUCCCCUUCAAUAUUAUUAUUUUGAUCACAACAUUUCUUUGGUGUACUAAAUUAAACAACAUUCAAAGUGAAACAGGCUAUGUGCCCUAAACACGAAAGAAAUCAUUUUUUUGCGACUUUUGUGUAUUUGUUAAGUCUUACGUUAAUCAAUGACAUGACAUAAUUUUAUUAAUAGGCCAAUGUCAAGUAAUGUUAUCAAUUAAAUGAAUAAUAGAUCUAUUUAUGGUCAAUUAGCUUCAAGCCCUUUGACCAUGUUUGGAUGAAAAAAUUUCAAGUUCAAGGAACUGCCAAACUAAUAAAGACGAUCACAUAAUAUUAGACAAUAGGAUUAGAAGUGCACAAUAUAUGAGUAUUAAAAUGGCAUGAAAGAGACAAUUAUGAAUAACUCCUAAAUAACAUAAGGAUUUGUAAUCACAUUUAUGGUGCAAUUUAAUCUCUCCUAAAUAACAUUUCUUGAUUCAUUACUUACUAACUCGAGCUCAGUUCCUUAGAACUUGGAAAUCCGUCACUCAAGGCCUGGUAAUUUUGUUUGUUAUGGUCAAUAUAUAUCCUACUAACAGAUCCGAAUGAACCAUUUCUCUCAAGUCUCAACCAAUGACUCACUGAGUCACAGUACUACUUCAAACUUCAAAGUGCAUAUGGUCUG
rnacentral:lncRNA from 1 species